rnacentral:lncRNA from 1 species
UAAAAGGUCAAUUUUGGUACUUUUUUCCCAUAAUUUUAAUUGUUUUUGGCAUAAUUAACCUUGGCCGCCAUCUACGAUCCAUAAAGUUUUUAUAUUGAUGAAAUCUAUAUCAAAAUUGGAAUCUUUUGGUUACAACACAUUUUGGAUCGUAGGUGGCGGCCAAGGUGUUUCUAAAGCUUUUAGGUCUGAAAAAUGCACAAAAUCAUCAUAUUUUGGCAAAAU